rnacentral:rRNA from 1 species
AUACGGGAGGCAGCAGUGGGGAAUUUUGCGCAAUGGGGGAAACCCUGACGCAGCAACGCCGCGUGAGUGAUGAAGGCCUUCGGGUCGUAAAGCUCUGUCUAGAGGAAAGAAGUGUAUGGCAGUUAAUACCUGUUGUACUUGACGGUACCUCUGAAGGAAGCACCGGCUAACUCCGUGCCAGCAGCCGCGGUAAUACGGAGGGUGCGAGCGUUGUUCGGAUUUAUUGGGCGUAAAGCGCGUGUAGGCGGUUUCGUAAGUCUGAUGUGAAAGCCCCGGGCCUAACCUGGGAAGUGCAUUGGAAACUGCGAGACUUGAGUACGGGAGAGGGUAGUGGAAUUCCUAGUGUAGGAGUGAAAUCCGUAGAUAUUAGGAGGAACACCGGUGGCGAAGGCGGCUGCCUGGACCGAUACUGACGCUGAGACGCGAAAGCGUGGGGAGCAAACAGGAUUAGAUACCCCGGU